UACGUAGGUGGCAAGCGUUAUCCGGAAUUAUUGGGCGUAAAGAGCGCGCAGGUGGUUGAUUAAGUCUGAUGUGAAAGCCCACGGCUUAACCGUGGAGGGUCAUUGGAAACUGGUCGACUUGAGUGCAGAAGAGGGAAGUGGAAUUCCAUGUGUAGCGGUGAAAUGCGUAGAGAUAUGGAGGAACACCAGUGGCGAAGGCGAUUCUCUGGACUGUAACUGACGCUGAGGCUCGAAAGCGUGGGGAGCAAACAGGAUUAGAUA
rnacentral:rRNA from 1 species